rnacentral:misc_RNA from 1 species
GGAUGGAUCAUGUAACUCUUUGCAUUGGUUGCGUGGAUGAUUGCUGAUGAGGAUGUGUGGUCUAGCAAAUUCAUUGCAGGACCCAUCUUCUCACCUCCCUCCCGCGCAACCAAACAACACACCUUCUUGCACUUGUUACUGUCGAUGGAGGAUGGCGCCGCUCCACACUCUUCGGAGUGUGUGCGCGCGCGAUUCUCCAUCUGCAUUUUCAUGUUCAUCCAAAUACCCCCGUUUACAUUUCUCAUGACACUUUUUCUUUUCUCAUUCGCAAGAAUGACAAUCGAUAAAACUUAUAACCAAAACAACUUUCAACAACGGAUGUCUUGGUUCCCGCAUCGAUGAAGAACGCCGCGAACUGCGAUACUUAAUGUGAAACGCAACACAGCGCGAAUCAUCAAGGUUUCGAACGCACAUUGCGCUGCCGGAGUCCCCUCCGACAGCAUGCCUGUUUGAGAAUCGUUUCCAACCUCAACCCCUUCCCCCCAUUUCACUCCGGUGAAGUGCCGCGCGAAGGGUGUUGGACGCUGAGUGCCCCACUGGUUGAAAGACCGGUGGGCCACUUGAAAUGGAGACCCCUAUCUGGAGCUUGUCAUCCAAGCCAAGCGGUGGACUGUGCUGUGCUGGUGUGCAUUCGUGCGCAUCUUUCAUACUCACAGACCUUGCUGCCUGCGCCUGACCGACGAGUUCAAAGUAGAAAGGAUAGGAUCGACGAGAUACGCAAGUACCUCACAUCGUGUCAUUCAUCCCAGAGUUCAUUCUCUGAACCCUUGCUUGACACACCCCACCUCAAUCGCGAUCUCAAAUCAAGCAAGACCACCCGCUGAACUUAAGCAUAUCAAUAAGCGGAGGAAAAGAAACUAACAAGGAAGCCCUCAGUAACGGCGAGUGAAGCGGGCUAAGCUCAACUUUCUAAUCUGCGUCUCCGAGUGAGGCGCCGAAUUGUAGUCUAGAGGGGCGUCCUGCGUGGUGCGCCGAGCAUAAGUGUCCUAGAAUGGACUGUCAGAGAGGGUGAGAACCCCGUCUUUGGCUCGGAGUGCGCUGCCGAUCAAGGGACGUUUCCCACGAGUCGGGUUGUUUGGGACUACAGCCUUAAUUGGGUGGUAGAUGCCAUCUAAAGCUAACUUAUCUGCGGGAGACCGAUAGCGAACAAGUAGCGUGGGCGAAAGAUGAAAAGCACUCUGGAGAGAGAGUCAAAAGGACCUGAAAUUGUUGAAAGGGAAGGGAUUGGAAUCAGUCGUUACCCUGCGGAGAUUCGCCGGUCGCCGGCGCGCUGCGCUGCGCUGCCUGAGCCCUCAAAGCCAGCGCGUGGCGAUGCGCGUGUCGGGGGCCGGUUACUUCUCCGUGCGGCGUAGGCCAAUAUCAGCUAGUAUGGACAUGGCGCCGGACAAGACUGCCGGGAAGGUAGGGACUGAGCCGUGUACGCGGCCGGUUCUGUUAUAGCCCGGUGGGGAUCCGUUGCGCCGCUGGCUGAGGAAAACCCUGGUGUGCCAUGCACGCGCCUCGGCGAGAUGCGCUGCCGGACGGCUGCCACCCUAAACAGGUGGUGGUUGGUGCCGGUGGUAGCGUCGUCGGCGUGCAAAGGAUAUUGGCGAAUUGGUUUCCAUCCACCCGUCUUGAAACACGGACCAAGGAGUCCGCCGUCUACGCGAGUAUUUGGGCGGCAAACCCGAAUGCGCAAUGAAAGUGAAGGCGUCAGUGGGCGCUGAGAUGGGACGGCCCGCGCGAAGCGAGCCCGCACCACCGGCCGAUCUGGACCCCUUGUGGUGAAAGAUUUGAGCAAGAGCGUAGCCCGUGGGACCCGAAAGAUGGUGAACUUUGCCUGAGUAGGUUGAAGUCAGUGGAAACACUGAUGGAGGACCGUCGAGAUACUGACGUGCAAAUCGUUCUUCUGACUUGGGUAAAGGGGCGAAAGACUAAUCGAACCAUCUAGUAGCUGGUUCCCUC